rnacentral:tRNA from 1 species
GCACAUGGCUUAGUGGUUAGGGUAUUUGACUCCUGAUCAUAAGGUUGUGAGUUCGAUUCUCAGCAGUGCA